rnacentral:tRNA from 1 species
GGGAAGGUGGCUCAGUGGCAGAGUGCUUGCCUUGCAUGCAUGAGGCCCGAGUUUCAAUUCCUCAGCAUCACA